AGUCGGGGGGGGACAGUCUCAUGCAACGUGAUUUUUCUUUCGGUGGUAGCGCCCUCUAUAGACGAUCUCCUAGAUUCUACUAUGCUCAAGAGAUGCCGCUUAAAUGAAAAAUAUGAUUACCAUUUCAAACGUUCAAAAACUACUUUGAUUUAUUUUUACGGGCACGAGGCAGAUUAAGUAAAUAAAUAAUUCAAUUUAACUAAAUUAUGCAAUUUAGCAAAAUAUUUCUAAAAGAUAUUUCCUAAAAUUUUCACAUGAAAAAUAAUGUUAUAUCAGGUAUUUGAAAUUUGAAUGCCAACUCCCAACCGCAAAAGUGUCAAAACAAAAAUUUCCAAUUACAAACUGACUCCUGCUUGUUGCGUUACCAUUUUGCUGUAGUUCAUUUUGUAUUUUAUCCUGUUUUCUGUAUUGUGAGAUACUCUAGUAAGUACGUCGAGUCGAGCUUUUAGUUUCUCUGGCAUACUGUCGGGAUUCUGCACUCGGUGGUACAGUACACUGUACCACCGAGUGCAGAAUCCCGAAUUGGUGUUUUAAGACUUCGAAAGGACGCUAUUUCGUGAUAUUUUUGUGAUUUCGGUCACAAUGCCUAAACGAUGUGUGUUUGGUUGUUCACCUAAUGAUAUUGACUGACUAAUGAACAGAUUUUCAAAAAGAAAAAAGUUUGUGAUGUUCAUUUCACCAACAGAGAUUGUAAUUGUAAUAGCCUAUUGAAUGUUUUAGCCAUUCCAUCUCUUCAUUUGAAUUGCUUUCAUGGAAAACCUCCUUACCCAAAGUCAUCCAUAUCAGCUUCGGAAAGAACGGCGCCGUCCGAAUUGACAGUAAAUAGGUAUAGCACUUACCAAAAACAAAUUUGGAACUUGAGAAGAGAAAUCUACAGACUGCGAAAAAGUGGUCAUUCAUUUAAGGCGCGGCUUGCAAAAGCCGAAAAACUGGAUGCCAACACAACUUUUGAAAAGUAAGUAAGUCAGUAAAGUAAGUAAUUGAAGGUAUGACAUCACAAGCCAAAUUUUUUACCGCCAUGCAAAUGCAAACGGUGAAAAAACAAAAGGGUCGUCGUUUUUUGUUUGAAAGAAAAGUAUUGUCCUUGUCUUUGUAUAAGAGGAGUCCCAAGUGUUAUGCCUUGAUGGCAAAAUAUUUUACAUUGCCAUCAGCACAAUGUUUAAAAAGAUUAAUUACUAAAAUAAAACUAAAGCCGGGCAUCAAUAGUCAUUUAUGAAAAAUUAAAAAAAAAAUGUGCAUGAUUUGUCUCGCGAAAAUAAACUGUCUUUAUUAUUAAUAAUAUUAUAUUAAUAUGAAAAUAAAUAAAUCUUUGACGAAACGUCACUUACGCCGCAAGUGCAUUACGAUGCAGCAACCUGUCGCUUAUUAUUUCACGGGUAACCUGAACAAAAAUGAAUUGAAAGUAAUAAUACAGGAAGUUAUCAAAAAUGUGCAAGCAACUGGCUUGACCGUUUUAUGUACUGUGUGUGACCAGAGCACAGUAAACUGUUGCGACGGAGCAUUUGGCAGCCCGAGGAGUACUACCGCAGGCAUGCCGACAAAUAAUUCCGUUCCUCCUUAUAAUUGACAAUUUGUUUGAUUCUCUGAAUUAUAGCUCUCUUCAUGUGCCAAAUGGAAAAAUCUUUAAAGGGCCUGUGAAAAGAAAUUCAUGUCAUCAUCAGCUGUGGCAAAAAGCACUCCAACUUAAAGUGUCAAAUUUAUAGCUAAAAAAAGAAGGAAAUAAAAUAUGUGUGGUUGGUACAUCAAUUAAAAAAUUCAUUAAAACGAAUGAAGGUAUGCAAGAGCUAUGGAAAAUUUUGUCACAACAUUAUUAUAGCUUUUACGACGUUUCGCGUGCUUUACAGGGUGCGUGGUCACGGUGACUGAAGACAAAAGGUGUUGAAUGUCAGAAGUAUCACAGUUGUAGAGAAAGUUGUGUUAUCUGUAUUUAU